UAGUUUUAGUUUAAGCUUACAGUGUUCCU
rnacentral:piRNA from 1 species